UUUUCUUUUCUGCUCCCGCAUGAUAUUUUCUCCCCUUGAAGAUUCAGUUGCAGCUCGAUCUUAAGUGUUAAUCUUAGAGAUUUGGUUGCUCGUGUUCGAUCUGGGUUUGUCAAGGUUGAAGAGCUGGACUACUUUGAAGAAAGAACUCUGAAGAACUGAAGAACAUGGAAGUUUUCUCAUCAGAGUUUGGACAUAGAAGAACUGGUCAGAGUUGAAUUUGGAAGAACUAAGAAGUUGGAGAUUUGCAUGGUGAUAUGGCACAAACUGCAUGGACCAGUGGAGAGACGAUAACGAAUGGUAUUGGUUCAACUAGGAGAUAUACUUGACUGGAACCGAUUGUACUCCGGACAGACCAGUGACAUAGAUGAUUAUCAAGCAUGCCAG